CUGGUUGAUAGGUCGAAGGUGUAAGUGCAGUAAUGUAUUUAGCUUAUCGAUACUAAUAGGUCGAGGACUUGACCAA
rnacentral:rRNA from 1 species